CUUCCAAAGCUUUCUUUAGUGAUAGUCCGUUUUCUUCGUCACAUACAAUUGCAUAAUAAUUUCAAGAACAUAGAAAUUAGAAUUGAAUUAUAUUAUACACUAUGUGAUAGUUAGUGACACAAAUAAUCACUAAAUUUUUCAUUAUAAAGGUAAUUUUACAAAAUAAUCAUAUAUAAUAUAUUUAAUAAAAUAGAAAUUAGUGAUAAAUAAUUUAUUAUCACCAAACAAAAAAAAUAGUGCCACUUACAUUAAAGAAUCCGGAAAGCCUGAUGGCUUUAAAGGAUAGGGGAGACUUUGCUCGUGAUAGAUGUCAUAAGUGAAAGAAUCAGAACAAUAUACUCAAGGCCCUUGAGUCAAGAGUUUAGAAGAAUCCAAAUCCGCUGAAUGGACACUGAUGAUUAUCGCAUCAAUUUUUUUAUUUUCUUUGGAGAACAUUGACAUUGCUUCUGAAUACGUAUCGAUCGUGAUAAUUGCAUCAAUAUACCUUAAAAGUUAGUGAAAAAAAUAUGCACAAAAUUAUCUCGAUAAUUUUUAAUUUCUCAUAUAUAAUUCAAUUGUAAUUUUCUAGUUAUAUUGUUAUUUUUUAGUUUACGCAAUUGCACGUAUGAAUAAAUUAUAUUGUUAUCAAUGUGAGGAAUCAUAGACAAGUUUACCUAUAAAGCUAUAUACAGUUCUAUUAAGGAUAAGUAAUUGAAUAUAUAUGUGUCAAUUGGAGAAGUAAAAUAAUGUUACGUUAACAAGUGUUAUCAUCAUGAUAUUUUAUGUUUGUAAGUUAUUUUAUAGCAUGACCGUACUUUUUAGUAUGUUAAAAAUUGUCUAUUGUCUUAACAAAUUAAAAUAGAGAAAGAAAUUGAAUGAUUAUUAUAAUGGAACAAAAAUAAAAACAGUAUUUGAGCGUAGUAAUUUCGACAUGUUUUUUUGUACAAGGUAGAUUAUUGGUCGAUAAAAAUUAACACCAAACUAAUUAAGGAUAUUGAGAACAAUGCUACAUUGAAAAACAAUUUAGUGGAUCAGUUGUAUUACAUAAGCUAAUUUCCAAAACACAUGAAAAUUAAAGAAUAAAAAAGAAAGCGAGACGAAGAAGAAAAAUAUGGAGCUUAACCCGCUAAUUAUAUCACCUUAUCGUACUAUAUUAAGCAUUUCUUUCUACUUUUACCCUGCUCCAUUGAACAUUCUUAAAAUUUCUUUUACUUUUUUAUACUUUUAUUUUGUAAUGUUUUACUUUAUUUUGCUUUUUUUUUAAAAAUAGUAUCCAAUCAAACACAUAUUACUAGAAAAAUUAUCAAGAUUCUCUAAAAGUGUGCAAAUAUAUAUUUACUAAUAUUAUAAUGCAUAUUCAGAAGAUAAAUAAAUGACAUCUUCAAAAUUUUUAGUUCACGUAGUUUAAUAUACUAGGUUAGUCAUCACUUGUUGAAAAAAAUGAAGAAUCAUCAAAUAAGUUUAGUUUCCACCUCUCUAAAAUAAAACUGAAAAAAUAGAAAAGAAAUUCCAUGAAUUCUGUUAAUUAUAUACUAUGAAAAGGAUAUUGACGAUUUUUAAUUUCUUCACUCAACUACAUCUAAUUUAUCUUUAUAUAUAUAAUUCUGUUAUUAAACUAUAUGAAAUUAGAAGACGAAUAAAAUAGGGAGAAGAGAAAAAUUUCUUAUUCAUAAGUAUAUUAAGGAUUCAUUGAUCUUUCACAAGUUUUAUUUACAAUGAAGGAAAACCCUUUAUUUAUAGGGGAAACCUUACUUGGUCCCCAUGUAGGAUUCCUAACCAUGUCGUACAACGACUCCACAGAAUUAGACAUUCACUAUAAUACAAAUUGUUCAUAACACUCCCCCUUGAAUGUCCAUAAAUUAUGUGCCUCGUUAAAAGCUGAAAGCCACUUGACUGUAAGGAGAGGACUUCCAGGGCUCGAUAUACGGCUGUGUCUUACUAGAUAAAACUCAGUAGGAAAAAAUCUAGUGAAGGAAAAAAAGUACACAUAUCUAAUAAUACGCAUUAUGGAUACCUCAUUAAAAACCUUACAAGGAAAAUCCAGUGGAACAAAACCUUGUGAGGAAAAAAGAGUACAUCGCGUAUUAACUCCCUUUAAUGACAACAUUAAUUCAGAGACUAGAAUCUUUGUUUUCCAAGCUUGUGCAGCAUCUUCUUGAAAGUUGUAGUUGGUAGAGAUUUAGUGAAUAAAUCAACAAUAAUAUUACUUGAACAGACCUCUUACAUGUUGAUAUCCCCAUUCUUGGGAGCUUAUGAGUGUAGAAAAACCUUGACGAAAUAUGCUUUCUUCUAUAUGCUUUUAUAAAUCUUCCCUUGAGGGUCAAAGAUUUCUGCAAGAUCCUUACUUCAACUUUUUUAAGCAAAUAAUCUAUUGCCAAGAUUUUCAAUUCUAAUCAUCAACUUGCAUAAUAAUACUUGUAUAUGCUCUAUGCAUUUUGAAUCUAUUUAAUCCUUAUGAGGAUGAUAAAUAAGUUUUUAAAAAACUUGUAUAUGCUUUAGAUUUUGGACCCAUUGGAUAUUUUCAUAUCAAUUUUGUCAAGUAACAACAUUUAAUAUUAGAUGUAUGACAUUUUCUAGUGCCUAGAAUGCAAGUCAAAUAAGCUUUACGGACUUCUUCACACCCACCGUGCAAUGCAUGCGGUUAUUGAUAGACAGAAGAAUCAUGGUAUCCACUUCCGGGUAUUAGCAAAAGCGUUACGUAUGUCUGGUGGAGAUCAUAUUCACUCUGGUACCGUAGUAGGUAAACUUGAAGGUGAAAGAGACAUAACUUUGGGCUUUGUUGAUUUACUGCGUGAUGAUUUUGUUGAACAAGAUAGAAGUCGCGGUAUUUAUUUCACUCAAGAUUGGGUCUCUUUACCAGGUGUUCUACCUGUGGCUUCAGGAGGUUACCAAGAUGCA
rnacentral:lncRNA from 1 species